CGGACGGGUGAGUAACGCGUGAGAAUCUGCCCUCAGGAGGGGGACAACAGCUGGAAACGGCUGCUAAUACCCCAUAUGCCAAAAGGUGAAACGAUUUUUCGCCUGAGGAUGAGCUCGCGUCUGAUUAGCUGGUUGGUGGGGUAACGGCCUACCAAGGCUUCGAUCAGUAGCUGGUCUGAGAGGACGAUCAGCCACACUGGGACUGAGACACGGCCCAGACCCCUACGGGAGGCAGCAGUAGGGAAUUUUCCGCAAUGGGCGAAAGCCUGACGGAGCAACGCCGCGUGAGGGACUAAGGCCUUUGGGCUGUAAACCUCUUUUCUCAAGGAAGAAGAUCUGACGGUACUUGAGGAAUAAGCCACGGCUAAUUCCGUGCCAGCAGCCGCGGUAAUACGGGAGUGGCAAGCGUUAUCCGGAAUUAUUGGGCGUAAAGCGUCCGCAGGCGGCCAAGCAAGUCUGUUGUUAAAGCGUGGAGCUCAACUCCAUCACUGCAAUGGAAACUGCUAGGCUUGAGUGUGGCAGGGGCAGAGGGAAUUUCCGGUGUAGCGGUGAAAUGCGUAGAUAUCGGGAGGAACACCAGUGGCGAAAGCGCUCUGCUGGGCCAUUACUGACGCUCAUGGACGAAAGCCAGGGGAGCAAAAGGGAUUAGAUACCCCAGUAGUC
rnacentral:rRNA from 1 species